rnacentral:rRNA from 1 species
UACGGAGGGGACUAGCGUUGUUCGGAAUUACUGGGCGUAAAGCGCACGUAGGCGGAUUUGUAAGUUAGAGGUGAAAGCCCGGGGCUCAACUCCGGAACUGCCUUUAAGACUGCAUCGCUUGAACAUCGGAGAGGUAAGUGGAAUUCCGAGUGUAGAGGUGAAAUGCGUAGAGAUCGGGAGGAACACCUGUGGCGAAGGCGGCCGACUGGGCCGACCCUGACGCUGAGGCGCGAAGGCGUGGGGAGCGAACGGG